rnacentral:rRNA from 3 species
GUCUGCAUGGAGCCGACCUUGAAAUACCACCCUUUAAUGUUUGAUGUUCUAACGUGGACCCGUAAUCCGGGUUGCGGACAGUGUCUGGUGGGUAGUUUGACUGGGGCGGUCUCCUCCUAAAGAGUAACGGAGGAGCACGAAGGUUGGCUAAUCCUGGUCGGACAUCAGGAGGUUAGUGCAAUGGCAUAAGCCAGCUUGACUGCGAGCGUGACGGCGCGAGCAGGUGCGAAAGCAGGUCAUAGUGAUCCGGUGGUUCUGAAUGGAAGGGCCAUCGCUCAACGGAUAAAAGGUACUCCGGGGAUAACAGGCUGAUACCGCCCAAGAGUUCAUAUCGACGGCGGUGUUUGGCACCUCGAUGUCGGCUCAUCACAUCCUGGGGCUGAAGUAGGUCCCAAGGGUAUGGCUGUUCGCCAUUUAAAGUGGUACGCGAGCUGGGUUUAGAACGUCGUGAGACAGUUCGGUCCCUAUCUGCCGUGGGCGCUGGAGAACUGAGGGGGGCUGCUCCUAGUACGAGAGGACCGGAGUGGACGCAUCACUGGUGUUCGGGUUGUCAUGCCAAUGGCACUGCCCGGUAGCUAAAUGCGGAAGAGAUAAGUGCUGAAAGCAUCUAAGCACGAAACUUGCCCCGAGAUGAGUUCUCCCUGAGACUUAGAGUCUCCUGAAGGAACGUUGAAGACGACGACGUUGAUAGGCCGGGUGUGUAAGCGCAGCGAUGCGUUGAGCUAACCGGUACUAAUGAACCGUGAGGCUUAACCUUACAACGCCGAAG